UGAGACGUGGUGUACGGUGCACCGCUGCAUUCAAUUCAGGAUCUAUGAGUCAUAUAUGUUGCAGCAAGCCGGGGUUCGACUCCCCGCGUCCCAA